UACGUAGGGUGCAAGCGUUGUCCGGAAUUAUUGGGCGUAAAGGGCUCGUAGGCGGUCCAUCGCGUCGGGAGUGAAAAGCUGGGGCUUAACCCCAGUCCUGCUUCCGAUACGGGUGGACUAGAGGUAGGUAGGGGAGAACGGAAUUCCUGGUGUAGCGGUGAAAUGCGCAGAUAUCAGGAGGAACACCGGUGGCGAAGGCGGCAUCCUGGACCGGUAUUGACGCUGAGGAGCGAAAGCCAGGGGAGCAAACGGG
rnacentral:rRNA from 1 species